GAGAGCUGGGAGCUCUGACCCGGGACGCAGCGCGACCCGGCCGGAACUUUCACUUCCGGCCACCCCACGACGGCUCGCGGGCACCCAUGUCUUUGUCUCUCUGUCGCCUACCUCCCUGUAGCCUCUGAUCAUCCAUGCACUGAACGGAGAAGGAGAUUCGACGACUGGAAGCUCCGGGACCUCUUCGGCGAGCUCUCAAUUCCCGGCGAUUCCGACCACCAUUUUGGCUACCUAUGGCAGCCGUGUUCUUGGACACCGGCGACUUCUCCGACGCGUCAGGGUGCCCUCAACUCAUUCUCCGACGGUCAUCAUCGUCCUGGAACCCGAAAACGUGGAAGGUUGAGCUGAAAUAGGUGGUCGGGCUACGUUGACAGUGUCGGAGUUCGUCAAAUUCGAAAACUGACGAGAAAGAAGGAUCAACUCACCGUCGAGUUUCAAUUAGGAAGCCGCUGCAAGGAAGUUUGAAUUCCAGUGGGUAAACUAGACAGAACGAAGGUAAAUUCGAUGGUUCUGUCAAAUUUGUUAAUCCCUGAAAGUUGAGAAAUUGUGCGGGCUAUCCGAUGUUGUUUGCAUGUGCAGAGUGGGUUGGUUGUAACUUGAUUUGAAUUGAUGAGGUUGUGUAGUUUGGUGAUUUAAAUUUGUUCUGGUUUUGCAAGUUAUUGCUUUGUUGGUGUUGCUAAGGCAGGUUAUUUGAAAUGAUUGUGGAAUAAUUG
rnacentral:lncRNA from 1 species